rnacentral:rRNA from 1 species
CAGCAGCCGCGGGAAUACGAAGGGGGCUAGCGUUGUUCGGAUUAACUGGGCGUAAAGGGCGCGUAGGCGGGUUUUUAAGUCAGAGGUGAAAUCCCAAGGCUCAACCUUGGAACUGCCUUUGAUACUGGAAGUCUUGAGUCCGGGAGAGGUGAGUGGAACUGCGAGUGUAGAGGUGAAAUUCGUAGAUAUUGGAAAGAACACCGGUGGCGAAGGCGGCAACCUGGUCUUUAACUGACGCUGAGGCGCGAAAGCGUGGGGAGCGAACAGGAUUAGAUACCCCGGUAGUCCCUGUCUCUUAUAC